rnacentral:lncRNA from 1 species
UAUGCUCAGCGUCAGAGACCAACUGUCUAUCACUUAUACACUCCCUAUCCCUUCCAGCGGUAUCACUCACCAAAACUAGCAGUCUGUUGGCAGCGGUUUGAACGCCGGCAAAAGACACUCAGCCGAAACAGCAACUCAGAGGCAUGAUCAAGGGGCGGUGAUACUCACAGAAACAAUAAAUAUUUAAAUACGGCAAACUCGGGUUCGCUCGUUUUCUUAGGGGAAUUAGAGGGUCGAUCUCGGCUUGCUAACUCUCGCCAGUUCAAUUCAGCUCUCAACGUGCAAGCGAGCAAUCUAGUGUCAUUAAAAGUCUUAAAGCUAAAGUUAGUAGUGUUAAUUGUGAAGAAGUUAUUAAAAAGCAGGUAGAGUGACCUAGCUUGGUCCAGCGCAUCUAAAACACUACAAAAUAAGUUGAAGUUAGAAGCAAGAAAAAGGUCCACAAAGGGGCCUUUUUCUUUGUAAUUAGCAGCUUUGUUCGGAGGAGGAACGCCAUCUUUAUUCCCUCAGAACAAAGGCAAGGGGUUGGGUCCUUGGAUGCCUGACCUGAGAAGCCAUCUUGGGAUUCGGUGAAUGGUAUUGAAGUCGCGGAGCAAAACCGCCGUCGAAUAGGAAGCUUCAUCCGAAGUUCCGAAGUUCCAGGUCCUCGAUAGCCAACCACGAGUGUCGUAGGAAUACCCGAUCCCCUGCUGGUCUGGUGCCCUAUCUAUGGGAAUACCAACCAAGGACGCCCCGAUACGCCAUUAGCCGUUGCAGAAUCCACCCCGACCACCUCAAGGUGCCGUUAGUCCGCAGAAAGUCCACAACGCAAGAGUAAAACCGCAAGUAGAACUAUGUGACGUCACGUUAUAGCUAGAUCAUAAGAAAUGGCCAUUUUACACGAAUCUUUAUGUAAAAACACUUAAUACACAAUGUUAUUACACGUAAAUUCAAAGUGUUUUAAA